CGCCUGCGGAACCAUCACGCUGGGGUUUCCUAACCGUUACAAAAACAGCUAAUAGGACUCGACUUACCACCGAAACCUCUUCUCUCUCUCCUCCUCCUUCUGUCUUCGGUUUAUUUUAUGCCAGUUUGUCCUAGGGUUAGGGUUUCAGAUCAGUCAUGGAAAAUUCCGAUCCCAGAUACGGGCGGGCUCUAAAAACUCUCCCCCUGUCUCUCUUAACGCCUCCCAAACGAGAUCAGUCCCAGUCGACGAGGAUUGUUGCUGGCGGCUGUCGUUUUGGGUGGGAAUGCGCUGGAGAUUGUAGGGUCUGUCUCUGAUUGACAGGUGUGGGCCCAUUCUUCUCUCAGGAUGAUUGGGUUUGGUGGCUUCCUGUGCCACUUGGAUUCGACAACCAUCAGUGUGCACUGAAUGCACCUCACCCUGUUCAUUCUUGGGAGAGCUGCUGGCGUUUACUUGGUUAUACUUCUGGUUGGUUUUGGACUCUAAUCUUCAGGUUCCAGGGCCACCUUUGGGAGAGAUGCCGCUGCAAAAAAGGCAACAUGCAACCACAUAAGUUGCUGCUUGAAUUUGGUUUGGUUUUUUGCUGGUUUCGUUUCUUUUUUAAUGAUUACGUGUUCUGGGUCAAUGGUCUUUUCAGUUGCUAUUUCGUUAUUGCUCCAUGAUUGAUAGUAUUGGUUUUGUUUUUGGAGCAUUGGACUGAUAGCAGCCUUUACAGGUCGGUGUAGGUAUAAUAAAUGCGUUGAUUAAUGUAUGAACCGUUUUCGAUCACUCAUUUGCUGGAGAUGCAGAGGAUGUUCCUGUAUUGUCAACCAGUCUCGCCUAUGGUUUGUAUAUGGAAAUUUCCAGCAAUCUAAGGUAAUCAUUGGCAUUUAUAUUCAGAUUUUUUUAUGACGCUGGAACCUGCUGAUAAUGACAGGAUCAAUAUCUUUUAACAUCUUGAUUCUCAUCAAGUUUUGCGAAGUUCUCAUUAAACUUUUUAUGCAUUGAAUCACACCAAAUGUUAAGAUAUUGUUUAGGCAAAACGCGGUUUGUUCUAGCUUCUUGCAGAGUGCAUAAGUGAGGCAGGCCUGUCUUAAUUCCUUUCACCUUUUCAUUUUCUUCACUCAUUCUUCUGUUAUUCUCCUUUUGAAUUAUAAAUUAACCUUGCGAGAUUUGCAUUUUUUAAAAUGUUUUCUUUUGUUUUUCCUGUCCUGGCUCUGUUGUUCUGUUGCUAGAAUCGACUGUGAAGUGGAGUCCUAGACCGACUCUGAGGAAAAACUUCUUAUCAAUAUCGGUCGGGACCUCAACUUUUCGAGGACUUUUAAAGCUUCUACUGAGUGUUGUGACUGUAGUUGUGUCAUUAUAAGCUGAAAGUGGUGGCAUAAAUGGUUUCAUUGUACACUUAGCAGGCAAAGAGCAGAUUUGUAUUCAAGAAUGACAGUGGUUGUAGUGCUAUCAAAUGGUGCAUUUUAUGCACCUUGAUAAGCUCAGGCUGCCAUAUAAUAUCGGCCAGGUAAUCGAUCUCCAUAGAUCAAAACAUAAAUGGUUUGGCCAGGUCCUAGCAUGAUAACUGGGGUGGUAAAGGGCUUGAGAUAGGAGGCAUCAUCACCAUCAAUUAUGAACAUAUGGUUGGCUAUGGUGAAGAAAAGUAGCUGAUUGGCUGCAAAAUUGAUGACUCGAAGGAGGUUUGACUCACCAGAGUCUAUCGAAACUAUGGUCGUAUAUGAAAUAUCAAGUCCAUGAGAUCAUCUUCUAUGAAAUACUCGUGUGAUGAAGCUUUCGUGCACUAAUCAAGUUCCAUUUAUUUUAGUUGAAGUCUUGGAAUUGGUCUCCGUCUUCCUAAAAGGCUACUGGGUUAUACCCCAUUAAGCACAUUUCCUGGCCUCUCCAGCCGACAAAGAAUUCUUAGAUUGUUACCAUUUGCAAUAUUUUCUUAAAGCUAUGUUUUAUUUUUCCUUUUUGGAUAAAGCUAAUUUUGGAAUAGCGAUCCGGAGUAAGAAAGUUAUUUAAUUUGAUUUAAUUCAUGUAUUAACAAUUAAGAUUUUCUUUGAAUCUAGAAAAAAGUAGCUUUCAUAUUUUU